UGGGGAAUUUUGCACAAUGGAGGAAACUCUGAUGCAGCGACGCCGCGUGAGUGAUGAAGAUCUUCGGAUUGUAAAACUCUGUCCUUAGUGAAGAUAAUGACAGUAACUAAGAAGCAAGCCCUGGCUAAAUACGUGCCAGCAGCCGCGGUAAUACGUAUGGGGCAAGCGUUGUCCGGAAUUAUUGGGCGUAAAGGGUACGUAGGCGGUUUAAUAAGUCCUAAUUAAAAGGCUAUGGCUCAACCAUAGUAUGGUUAGGAAACUGUUGAACUUGAGUAGAUGAGGGGAAAGUGGAAUUCCAUGUGUAGCGGUGAAAUGCGUAGAUAUAUGGAGGAAAACCAAUGGCGAAGGCAACUUUCUGGAAUCAAACUGACGCUGAGGUACGAAGGCGUGGGGAGCAAACAGG
rnacentral:rRNA from 1 species